rnacentral:lncRNA from 1 species
CAGCAAUUAUGCCAUGGUAUAGGAUGAUUAUGCUUGAAUUAUGGUUGCUGUAUUGGUGAACCACACGAUAGCAGACUAAAAAAGAUCGUUUCCUUUGUAAACAUUUCGUGUGCUGCAUAGAACAGAGCAGGCAACAUCCCAAUCCAUCAGCUUCAUGUUAUACGGCCUCAAAGCUUGUAUAUACCAGACCAGGAGGUAUUCCUCCAAUACCUAAUCAUUAUAAAGACUGAGAAAAUGCUAGCCAGAAGCAGAAAAGGCAUUAUUGCCCUCGAUUGUACUACAUGCUCUUUCUUGGAUUGUUUGUUUUCAUUAGUUAAAUCGUUGGCUGCCUCCAGUCUAAAAAUUUGGUCUCGUUGCCAAUUUAGCUUGUAGUAACUCACCACGGCCUGGACCAUGUGAUGGAUUAAGAAAGAAUUUACUAUUGCAAUAUAAAGGCAAACACAUUUAUUGGUUUAACACAUGUUUGUUCAUGUUACAGAUUCUGAAAAUACACCUCUGGGUAAGAGAAAAACAGUUUACGACAUAUUAGAUUUGAACCAAAUCAAUCGCAACAAUAUAAUAAGAAAAAUUUAGA